rnacentral:lncRNA from 1 species
CGCUCCUGAGCCUCCCUGACACGCCUCAAUCGAUUUUUAGCCCAUUUCAUGCCCGGACCUCGGCAACACCCCCGAAAUUAUGGCCUAUAACACAUCGAUUUGGCUCGAAAAGGCCUUAUUUGUACCAUUUUGCCCGUUUGAAUACCCAAAUGGCCUCGCCCAACCAAACGGACCACACUAGGUUGCUCUCAGCCUCCUGGCACGUCUCGGUCGAUUUUUGGCCCAUUUCACGCUCGGACCCCAGGCACACCCUCGGAACCAUAGGCUAUAACACACCAAUUUGGCUCGAAAAUGCCCCGUUUACAUCGAUUCAUCUGUUUGACAACCCA